rnacentral:tRNA from 1 species
CGGGCCUGGUUAGUGACUCCGAGGCGGAAUUCUCGCCCGCGUGCCUUUCCCGGCCUUCCCCUUCCUUCCCUGUUUAGUAAAGCUUGUAAGCCUCGCUGAGUAUCUGGCCGCCUCUCCCCUCCGCUUCCGGAAUUUCAACGGGGUGGUAACGCUUCCGUCUCUGCCCCUGGCUUUGUUCUCUCUGGUUCUGGUAGCGAUAUUGUUCCGAAGAGAAUUGGCAGUUUGUGGUAACCGAGGUGUUGAACCGGCGACCUCAACGUGGGUUUUUCCAGUGUCAGUAAUCGUCUCUGAACACAGUUAAGAGCAUUAUUAGGAGUCGCACUUCGCCGGAGAGCAGAGUGGCGCAGCGGAAGCGUGCUGGGCCCAUAACCCAGAGGUCGAUGGAUCGAAACCAUCCUCUGCUAUCUGCUUUUCCUGCAACUUUUUAGUUUCUGUAGCCUCGUUUCACAGUAGGGGAAGAAAUUAGACCCUGUUUUGCUUCAUUCUGGAGUGAAAAUUAUUUCCUGAAAAUAAACGUGAAACUGUUUACAUUCUCCAGAGAGAAAAAGACCGUCGGUCAUGGAUACUCAGUUAUCAUUAAUUAAGAUGUUCCCCCACCACAAGCUAUAUUUCUAGUGGUUGCCAAAGGGAUCGUGACAGUCCCAUUGCCCUAUGAACCUGGGAAAACGCUAAAAUAAGCUGAGUGUAAGGGUGAGGACAGGGAUGGAAGCCGAGAGAAGGCGUUUUCUUUCCUUCUAUACGUAAUUCAGAAAAGCUCUAGUUAGUGAGCUGUGGCCACGUGGCUAGAGCCACAGACCAAUCUGCUGGGCCCUCCCAGCGCCAAAUCUUUGCAACUACCAGAGUCGGAAACUUUGGAAUAAAUAAGUAACAGUUUGAGGCCGAGUGCAAAGUUUUGGUGGCCGCGAUUGAACUCUGACCCGAGAAAACCACUUAUGUGGUUGAUGCUGGUAAAUGUGUUUCUACCGCCUGCCUCCCUUUACCAGUCUCCAACAGAGGUGCUCUCUAUGCUCAUGUUUAAAGUGUAUGUUUUAUAUUUCUCUCAGAAAAGAUCCCUGUUCAUAUACUCACGUUGUAAGAGGUCAACUUAUAAGAUAUCAGAAAGCUUAUUGUAUAUAAGUUCAGCUUAAACUCACCUUUCACGAAUAAUUGAGAAAAUAGCUUUUGUAGUUCCCUAAUACGGAAAUUGACCGCCCUAUGUCGCUGUAACUUUGCCUGCUAGGGAAAUAGAUACCUUAGGCUGCAAAACGCUCCCCCACCCCUUUUACCAAGAUCUGGCUUAGGCAAGACCAACAUGUAAAAAGUCACCAACUCACCGCCCCACGGUAUCUUAGGUGUCUAACUACGAUUGGUCAUUUUAAACCCUCUUAGGACAAAGAACUUUAAAUUGAUAGGUUCCCACCAAAACUAAGGUCUGUGUGUCACAAUAGAAUUGGCUACCAUGAAAUGCUGUAAAUGGCAAUUGGGUAACUAAAUAAUGACCUAUUCUGACUUGCUAAAAUCCAUAGAAGCUCACUGCUACCUUUGUUCGGGGCCAUUCUCUACACUUUCCUCCUUAAGAUCAGGAGAUCAGGUUUGGCCCGGCCGUGAAUAAAAUUUUGCCUCGCUUCUAUUCGGCGUCUGGUGGUAUUUUUUUUUUUUUUUUCCGACAGCACCCUGUUUCAUUUGGAGGUUCCACCGAGAUUCUAUGACCACCCGAAAUUCGGAGGCUGAAGUGGAACAGCUAGGGGAGAGCUCCCGAGACACGUUCCUCGGCCCCGGCCUUCCGUUCUCAGACCUGGCUUAAGCAAGGUACGCGAGGCGGCGCCUAUUUUCUGUUUUCUGUUCUCUGUUUUCUGUUACUGGCCAGAUCUGAUUCUCGGAGGGAAGGCUGGACGAAGCUUAACUUUCCCCUAGCUGGUUCUGGUGGAGACAUCCCCAGCCCCAUCUGGGUCUCCGGACCGUCUGGGUUGGGCUUGAUCACCCCAACCAUUCGUUCUAUGUUCAGUGCUCUGUGUGCCCUGUUAAACGUUUCCUGUUAGCCUAUCUUUAUCUCUGGUGUGACCCACUGUUUAACCUCCGUCAUGGGUCAGUCUUCGUCCGAGACUUGCUCUCCCCUUAAAUGCAUGCUAAAUAACUUCGCUGGUUUCAAAAAAAGAGGAAAGAACGAUGGCUCUAACCUAAAGCCGUCCUGGCUGCGGACAUGUUGCCCACUGGACUGGCCGAUGCUCUCUGGGGUUGACUGGCCCCCAGAGGGCUCCUAGAAUCUUAACCUUGCUUAUGCCGCCCGCAGGAUUUGUCAUGAUGUUCAUCCCGACCAGGAGCCAUAUGCUGUGACUUGGGUCGACCUCCUAAACGACCCACCUUCCUGGCCGAGAAAGUGCCAGAAACAGGGCCAAAAGCUGUCAUCUGGCAUCUCCCUUUCCCACUCCCCUUCCUGUUCUCCUCCAAACUCCGAACCCUUGCUUCCCGUCACUCAGCCUUCAAAGAGGCUUUACCCAGUGCUUCAGGAGAUACCCGAAGGGAGGGACUUGUUAUCCGAUUCUCAGAGACCACCUCCUUAUCCCCAGACCCCACUAGCUCCCCAGGAACCCAAAGCCGCAGGAGAGCCUUUGACUACUCCCCCACAUACCAGAUCAGGAGCCCUCUGCAGAGGAGAACACCAGUCCUCCGAUGCCCCGGUUCCCAUCCUUCCUCUCAGGCAAACGGCUCCGGCUCCCGGUCCAGACAGGCGGCCAACACGCCCGAUGGUUGUCUACACUCCACCUCGGACCUCUACAACUGGAAAACUCAGAACCCGCCUUUCUCUGAAAACCCCCAGGGCCUACUUGACUUAUUUCCCUCUAUUUUCCCCACUCACUGACCUACUUGGGAAGAUUGUCACCAACUCUUGCAGGUCUUACGGACUUCAAGGAAAGGGCCCGAGUGCCCCGGGAAGCCACGAGAGCAGUCCUUGGCCCGGAUGGAAUGCCUACCACAGACCUUCACAGAAUUGAGCACGUUUUCCCUUCCGCGCCGCCCCAGUGGGACCCUAACACGGAUAACGGUAGGGAGCGUCUACUCCAGCAUCGCCAGAUUCUGUUACAGGGGCUUCACGCAGCGGCACGAAAGCCCACCGAUCUGACAAAGAUUCAGGACACGGUCCAAGGGCCGAAUGAGUCGCCUGCAGCCUUCCUAGAAAGGCUUUAUCGGGCGUACCGCUUAUAUUCCCUAUUGACCCCGAGGCAACAGAGAACCGUAAAACCAUUAAUAUGGCUUUCGUUUCUCAGUCGGCCCCAGACAUCCGUAAAAAGCUCCAAAAAUUAGAAGGAUCCGAAGGAAAGGUAAUUUCAAAGUUGGUGGAAAUAGCCCAGCCAGUUUUUCAGAGCAGGGACAGCCCUGCCAUUAUGCAAGGGAAGGAAAUAGGGAAAGCCCUAGAAGCAGCCUGGGGAAAAACCCGCAGGCAACAGCAAAGGACAGGGAAGGCCUCAACCCCGCCAGAAAGGACCCCGAGCAAAGCUGGGAAAAAAAUCAAUGUGCUUAUUGUAAGGAAGAAGGACAUUG